GAGGGAGUAUGAUAUUAGCUAUAUUUGUCCAGGAAAUCUUUCAUCGUAGUAUCUAUCAGUAAAUUCUAGUAUCUUUUUAUUUGUCCAAGAAAUUUUUCAUAGUACAUGCCCAUUAAUUCUGGUUACAAUAUUAGUUACAUCUGUCCAGGAAAUCUUCCAUAUCUACAUAGUAUCAAUUAAUUGUGAUAUUAAUUAUAUCUGCCCUUUAUGGUACUAUAUAUUGACCAUGAUGGGUGGUGUAGCAGUUGAUCGACACACUCAUACGCUCAUCAUCAGACACAUUCAUCAGCGGAACAUCGCAUAGGAGAGUUAGCUCUGAAUCUCUGAUCCGUCACCGAUGGCGAAGAACAUGAAGAGCACCAUCAUCGUCCAAGGACUCUUGCUGCUUUCAGUGGUUCUUCUAGCAUCAUGCGUCGUCGGUGCACGCAUAAGCGGUAACCAAACGAAUCAAACUCAUUUUCUUUCGAGGUAAAUAUAUUUGUAAACAUAGCGCUCAUUCUGAUCGAACCAUGUCGCCGCUCGGUUGAUGAUGAUCUUUGUUAGGUCAAAUGAAAGACGAUGAUAACAGCAGGAGCAGGAGCAAGACGAAGACGACCGCAAUGGCGGCAUCAAGCAACAUCACCGGCGGCGUCGACGGCGGAGUACAAGAUAUCAGUGAGUGUGCUCACAUGGAGGUGCCCCCGUAUAUGUUCUGCUGCAAGAAGCACGCGUCGUGCUGGCAACACUACAGUAUAUGCCAGGCGAAAUGCGUCUAGGCUCUACCAGUGACAGAGGACAAGACGAAGACGAACUGCAUGGGGAUCGGAGGAAAGAGUCCAAGCUUUCUCAUGUUUGCAGAUGCAGAUCGUAGAAAUGUUAUUAUAUGCAUUUUUUUUUUACAAAGACGAUGUGCAAUGU
rnacentral:lncRNA from 1 species